UACGAAGGGGCUAGCGUUGUUCGGAAUUACUGGGCGUAAAGCGCGCGCAGGCGGUCUUCCAAGUCAGUGGUGAAAGCCCGGAGCUCAACUCCGGAAUUGCCAUUGAAACUGUUAGACUUGAGGAUGAGAGAGGUGAGUGGAAUUCCCAGUGUAGAGGUGAAAUUCGUAGAUAUUCGCAAGAACACCAGUGGCGAAGGCGGCUCACUGGCCCGAUACUGACGCUGAGGCACGAAAGCGUGGGAGCAAACAGG
rnacentral:rRNA from 1 species